CCGGCUCUCGUACGAUCACCGAAGUAAAGCAACGUCGAACCUGGUCAGUACCUAGGUGGGUGACCGUUUGAGAAUACCAGGUGCUGUAA